CCCACGGCUCACGCCGUGGGCUGCACUCUUCCGCCGCUUCGCGGCU
rnacentral:sRNA from 1 species